UAGGCACAACCGUGCGACAUGGCCGUGUGCCACACACGCCCAAGACACACGGGUAUGGGAUAGUAGCCGGGCACGACCUAAAUUGAAAAAUUCAAAAAACUCGGGCUUAACUUCAGAAUCAUCCCUCACUCUCAUCGGCCAGAUGUCUGCACAAGGCAUCUCAAGCAUGCUUAGCAUGAGGAUGAUUGAGAGGCGCCGAAGAACCUACCCUCCCCAGUAUCGUCUCGCCCAAUCUACCGAGGAGGAGGCCUAUGAGUCCCCC
rnacentral:lncRNA from 1 species